rnacentral:rRNA from 1 species
UUGAACUGAAGAGUUUGAUUCUGGCUCAGAUUGAACGCUGGCGGCAUGCUU